GUAGGUGGCAAGCGUUGUCCGGAUUUAUUGGGUUUAAAGGGUGCGUAGGCGGUUCCAUAAGUCAGUGGUGAAAUACAAUAGCUUAACUAUUGAGGUGCCAUUGAUACUGCGGAACUUGAGUACAGACGAGGUAGGCGGAAUUGACGGUGUAGCGGUGAAAUGCUUAGAUAUCGUCAAGAACACCGAUAGCGAAGGCAGCUUACUAGGCUGUAACUGACGCUGAGGCACGAAAGUGUGGGGAUCAAACGGGAUUAGAUACCCUGGUAGUCCACACUGUAAACGAUGAUUACUCGAUGUUGGCGAUACACAGCCAGCGUCUUAGCGAAAGCGAUAAGUAAUCCACCUGGGGAGUACGCCGGCAACGGUG
rnacentral:rRNA from 1 species